AGCGUAGGCGGUUCGGUAAGCCCUCUGUGAAAUCUCCAGGCUUAACCUGGAACAGUCGGAGGGGACUGCUGGGCUAGAGGACGGGAGAGGAGCGCGGAAUUCCCGGUGUAGCGGUGAAAUGCGUAGAGAUCGGGAGGAAGGCCGGUGGCGAAGGCGGCGCUCUGGAACGUUUCUGACGCUGAGGCUCGAAAGCGUGGGGAGCAAACAGGAUUAGAUACCCUGGUAGUCCACGCCUUAAACUAUGAAUACUAAGUGUCGGCGGGUUACCGCCGGUGCCGCAGCUAACGCAUUAAGUAUUCCGCCUGGGAAGUACGGCCGCAAGGUUGAA
rnacentral:rRNA from 1 species